rnacentral:lncRNA from 1 species
CCAUCGAAACUAGUCCUGUAAAAAUUUGAAAACGCUGAUUUUUGUUGUUUGACUUCUGAAUUAGUAUCUCAUUAUUUGUUUAUAUCUGUUGUAUUAUUGUAUUGAAAUAUAAACGCAUAAAAUGUUUUGAUAUAUUAUGUUUGAUUCUGUGCUUUUAUUUGGUAAAGUAGAUAUGUUUUAACACUCCUUUCUCCUUUGAAUUAUAUAGAAAAUUUUUGUAUGUUUUCCACAUUUACCAUUUAAUAUUUUGUUGUAUAUAAUGGAUAUUUUUCACUAAAAAUUAUUAAUUAACUUUUUGGAACUAUAUAAUUUGGUAAAUAAAUACUUUUUUAAAAAACAUUAAAACUAUCUAACUGCAUGAGUGAUUCGUUAAUGUAUAUGUGUACAAAUAGUUUAAAUUUUUGUGUAAGAAUUUAAGUGGUUUCUUCUUCUUUUCUUUCUCUUUUUUUAUAGGUGUAUAGAAUUUUUGUGACUUUUCCUUCAUUGAUUACAUAAUUUAUUUUACUAUUUUCAUUAUUGUGACUUUCUUUCACUGUGUUAUGAAUAAAAAAGAUCUAAUCAUUUUCCUCCCCUUAUUAUUAUUGAUGAAUUAAAGCAGGUUGAUAUUUUAUUAGUAUAUACAUAUGUACUAAUUUGGUUAUUACUAUUUUGGCAUGUGGUUAUUUCUGCCAGUGUUUUAUUUAAAUUAAUUUAGAAUUGACUAAUUAAUUUUUUUACUUUAAAUGUUUAAUUCCCAUAAGUUUUUGCAAGCCUUAUUAUAAUGUAAUUUAAAUUUAUUAGUAUAUUUCUGUGCAUAGAAUAUUUGAAAGAAUUUGGCAAAUAUUUUUUGCUGCUGUUUCUUAGAGAAGUAAGUGUAUAAUGCUUUUAUCUUAUGAAGAUGCUACUUCUCACCUCUCUUUUUUCAGUUAUAAUUAUUAUACCAAAAUUCACAUGAAAUAAUAGUGUGUAAAAAAUAACAAAAAAAAUGUAAUAGCUAUUGAAAUAAACACUGGGAAAGCAUUUUGGCUUUCAAAACUAUUUUUGAAUGAUAUGUAAUAUUUUUAGAUUAUUAUGUUAAUAAAUACAGCUUGGGUAAGUUAAUGUUUUUGAAAAUUUUAAUGGUUAGAUAUAAAAGCCUAUUUGAGCUAUAUGGCAAUGUUUUCUUUUUAGUUCUUUGAUUGUUUACAUUUCACAAAGUAAUAUUUGUUUAUUGUUGCUUUAUGGAUGUUGGAAAAAAGAUAGACACACUGAGUUAUCAAUGUUUUUUGUUGUUACUGUCUCAGUCUAAGUGAAAUGCCAUGAUAAAGGCUGUAAUAUUUCUAUGUAAAUUUUUUAAGAAAAUUUAAUGUAUUUUGGAAAUUUUAAUCAUAUAAAACCUCUGAGCAUUAGAACCGGGUUUAUCCGGUCAUCAGAAGUUUUGCUACUUGGUAUAUAUUAGCUUAUAAUUUAAGAUAUUUUGCUUUCUUACUUUCUUUAAUAAUGUAAAUAUCAUCUUAAUGAAUGUAAGUUUAUGAAAAUGCAGACUAAAAUAAGUAAUUAUACAAACUAAAUUAAUAAAUGCUGUUUAAAUACUGGUCUUCAUGACAAAUCUACAAUCCUGUGCCACUCAGAGGCUUAAUAAAAAUGCAUUACAACUGUAGGACAAAUAACUCCUUACUAAUAGUUUAACACAGUUCACAUGAGAUAAUGUGAAGGGAAAAGUCUUUAAUACUUUAAUAUAAAUUUGCUGAAAAAAGAAUUUUGGAAAUUAUCUUAAAUUACAGUUUUUGUCUUAUACAGGUAAUUAUGAUUUCACCUUAGCUACUUAUAUUAUGGCCAAAGGUCUAAUUCAGUUAGUACUUUCUCUUUUCAGGUACAGUGUCAAAGUAUGUUCCUGUUUUUUUCUUAUUGCCUAAAUAAUAUGUAUGCUUGAAGAUGUAUGACUUAUAUUUGUAUGAAUAACUUUCACUAACCAAGCAUCAUUUCAACUGGAGAAUUAUGUAAAAAGUUCUAAUCAACUGCAUCAUUGUACAGUUUGUAAUUAUUUCUCUAAAAAUGUUCAUCAUGUACGGCGACAUAUGCUAAUUCAUACAGGAGAAAAGCCAUAUCAGUGUAAUAUAUGCAUGAAAAAGUUUAGACGGAAAGAACAUUUGAAAAGCCAUGUUAUCAUGGUACAUCAAAAUAUGUUAUGUUAUGAGGCAUAGAGUUUUUCAUUUUGAUAAUUGCUUGUUUUAAAUUCUGUCAUUAUGAUAUGCAUUUUAAGUGAUUUAAAAUUUAUUUUUUAUUACAUUGAAAAAGUUGAUGUCAUACAUACAUGCACAUGUAUACAUUAUUUUCCUCAUCUGCUUGGGAAUAAAACUGACAUGAAUUAAUUGAGUUUAAAUCUUAAUUCAGAUUUUCACUUAAGUAGACUAGGAAGACGAAAUAUGAUUCAGUUUCCUUAAUUGUUGAUAAUUAUUUUGAAAAAGGCUAAUACUCUUUGAAAAGUCAGCCUUUUUUCAUGGAAAAAGCAAUAAUUAGCACAAUUAAUUUUUUAAAAAUUAUUAUAUUUUUUAAUGUGUUUUAAUUGAACAAUAACUUAAAUGUGUUGAAAUAGUUUUCAAAUUACAAAAAAAUUUUUACUCUACUUUUUCUGAGAAGAUACUCUUUCUAAUUAAUCAAUAUGUAUUUAUAUAGAAUCAAGGGAUAAUUAAAAAUCUUAUAUCAAUACAUGUUUAUUCUCAAUGCUCAUAUUAUUAAAGAAAUAAAAUAAGCAAUUUCUUCUGUGCAUUCUAAGAAUCUUUAAUUAAAUAUGAAAAUUCUGAAAUGAAGAAGAAAUUCAUUGAAAAAGAAAUUGAUUUUAUAAAGGAGAAAAUUAUUCUUCAAAGGUGCAUUGUUAAAAAUUAACAAAUUUUUUGUGACUAGUGGGAAUAUUUAUUUGUUUAUUGCAACAAAUAAACUUAGAAAAGAUGCUAAAGAGAAGGAAACUCGUGUAAAUUAGCUAAUGUAUCAGGAAAAUUUUCAAAUUAAAAAGACACAUAAAUGUUUUGUUAUUUAUUGUUGCUACAAUAAUGUUUUGUAUUUUUUAAUGUAUAGUUAUACUAAUGUACAUUAUACAGUUAUAUUAUGUUGCUACAAAACAUAAUUACUUUGUAAAAUACAUAAUUGUUUUUCAGUUUUUAAUUUAGUUAUGCUAAUAUUUUAGAAUCAAAAUCAUAAAUUAUAACUGCUGUAAAAUAUUCGUAGUGCUUUUUUCAUGGAUAUAUUUUAGAAAUUAAAAAAUAUAUAUAUAUGUUAUUCUAACCAUGUAAAUCUAUUAUGAGUAAGGGUAUCCAACUGCAUAAUUUGAUUAUUUGUAACUAACUGCUCGCCCUUAAAUAUUAUCGCUGCAUAUUAAGAUGAGUUAUCUCCUUUCCUUAAUCCUUAUCGUAAAAGCAAGAUACAACACCAAAAUAUAAAAAUUAACAUAAAACUUUAUUCCUUACAGCUAAGGAGACUUAAUACAAAACAACCUAUGAUCUCUGGUGCUUCAGUGGCUUAUCGAAACUUUAUAUUAAAUAUUGUCUAUUAACUGGGUUAUAACUAAAGCAAAUAAUCUACAUGAAACUAUAACACUAACUGGGUUAGACAAAGUGCAGCUAACUUUCAACACUUGCAACCACUUGAUAUGAAAUUUGCAUAUACCUCUGGACUGAGCGACUGUUGCAAAAUGAGGCAUAAAAGAAAGAAUCAGUGUAAAGCUGACUCUUAGUAAGCUUUAAAUGAUAAGCCAUUAAUCUUCUUUGAAAUGUGUGGGAUCUAUUAUAAAUGUAAAAUAUAAAUGUUUCAAGAGAUUUUACAGCUUAAUGUUAAUUAGUUGAAAACUUAUAUGAAAUUAAUUUUAUUCUAGAAUUUGUUGUGUAAGUAUUAGUAAUCUAAUACUAACACAAUUAUUUAAUAAUAAUCCAUUCUAUUUACAGAUAUAUUUUAUUCUUACAAAUUACAAAAGUAAAGUUUAGGUGUAGAUAAUUGCUUUAGUUUUAGUUCCUAUUUGCUUGAUAGCUCCUUAAUUUUUUUUCAUUUGUGGUCCGUAAAGUCCUUAAAAGUACUAACCGUAUUUGCCGGCGUAUAAGACGCAUCAUCCUAUAAGACACAUUCCCUUUUUAAUACGCAUUUUUGAAGGAUAAAACUUUAUUACUAAGCAUUAUAAUUCCUCCAAGUUCUUAUGAUUUUCUCAGUUGAGGGUGGCUCAAUGCCUCUCUGCAACUCUGUUUCCAUGUUUUUUAGCAUACACAAUCACGCAUAGCUUGUAUGCUAUGUUAUAGCAAUGCCAACAUUGUUUUUGAGCCAUAAUAUGUCAACAAAUUUAAGAAAACUGAACAGUAGAAAUUUCACACACUUAAAAGUCGUUCACAAAAAUUGGGAAGUUAAAAUGAACCCAGCUGUGAUCGUCGAUGACAGCACAUGUGCAUUCACUGAGCUCUACAUAACUGUAAUAUUUCCACACUCUGCAAGGAAACAAGAAAAAAAUUUCGUAACUCCAAAUAGAGGAAAUUUCCAGAAACUAAUCUAAUCAAAAACUGAGUAUCGACGUAUAAGACGCACUCGGUUUUUUAGACCUAUUUUCAAUGAAAAAAGUGUGUCUUAUACGCCGGCAAAUACUGUAAUUUCCAUGUGGAUAUGUGUACUUAAUGUCGAUGUGUAUGAAUCUUGUAAACAGUAAAAUAUUAGAAACAGGAAAAGCAGUUUGGUAAAUUAAUAAUUAGAAAAGUAAUUUAGUAAAUUAUUAUGCCUCCAAGAAAUGAUAAACCUGCUUAAUAACUGUUGCAAAGCAAAAGUAUUUAAAUUUGAAAUAAAAAUUUCAGGAAAUGAAACUAAGUAGAUUUAAAAGGUAAUUUUCAUAAUAGUAAAGCAAAUAAUAUCUUGUAAUUUUGCCUAAAGUUUCCAAAAUUAGGAAGAAGCAAAAUCUCUUCCUUCCAUUCUUUAUUUUGCUGUUUCUUCAAUACAGAAUUUAGAGUUCCUCAAAUUAAGAUAAAGAAUUUUAUGAAAAGUAUUCCAGCAUUGGGUGGGAGGAUUCUUUAAAUACAGAGUUUAACUUUGUAUGUUCUUCGCAUGAAGCAAAUUUUCUUAUGAAUAAAAUGUUAACUACUAAAUAUCUAUUGCUUUUAAGUAGAGUAUAACGAAAUUUAGGGAAAAACUACGAAAAGUUGUUUGUUUGGGCAAUUAAUUGUUCUGUAUUUAUUAUAUUUAAUACAAAAUACUUUUAACACUUAUUUAUAACUUUUUAACUAUGCUCAUAAAACUGAAUAACUUGUUCUUCAUGAAUUUUGCCCAUAAAGUUAGGAACAUUUUAUAUUUGAAAAAAAAAAAAAAAAAAAUAUGGAAAUUUUAUAAAGUGUACUUUUUACUUACA